GGAAUAUAAGAACCCGUCUCUUAACUUUUAAUUAAAAAAACUAAGAACUGGUUUUUAAAACUCUUAUUUAAAAACCGGUUCUUAGCUUUUUUAGUUAAAAAUUAAGAGACGGGUUCUUAUAUUUC
rfam:Brassica napus, WGS project CCCW01000000 data, contig: 7381